AACGAACGCUGGCGGCGUGCCUAACACAUGCAAGUCGAGCGGAGUUGAUAUGAAGCAGCGAUACGGAGAAUCAACUGAGCGGCGAACGGGUGAGUAACACGUAGGUAACCUGCCCAUAUGACGGGGAUAGCCCCUCGAAAGGGGGAUUAAUACCGGAUAAAGUUAACUAUUGUGAAGUAGGGAACAAAAGGGUGCCUUUCGGGGUGCUGCGUAUGGAUGGGCCUGCGCCCUAUCAGCUAGUUGGUGAGGUAAUGGCUCACCAAGGCCAAGACGGGUAGCCGGACUGAGAGGUUGGACGGCCACACUGAAACUGAGAUACGGUCCAGACUCCUACGGGAGGCAGCAGUGGGGAAUUUUGCGCAAUGGGCGAAAGCCUGACGCAGCGACGCCGCGUGGAGGAAGAAGGUUUUCGGAUUGUAAACUCCUUUCGUGUGGGAAAAAGCUUUAUAAUGAUUUAUAGAGUGAUGGUACUGCAGGAAGAAGCCAUGGCUAACUCUGUG
rnacentral:rRNA from 1 species